CCUANGGGAGGCAGCAGUAAGGAAUAUUGGACAAUGGCCGCAAGGCUGAUCCAGCCAUCCAGCGUGCAGGAAGAAGGCCCUAUGGGUUGUAAACUGCUUUUAUCAGGGAAGAAACCUCUGGAUUCACUCCGGAGCUGACGGUACCUGAAGAAUAAGCACCGGCUAACUCCGUGCCAGCAGCCGCGGUAAUACGGAGGGGGCAAGCGUUGUUCGGAAUUACUGGGCGUAAAGGGCUCGUAGGUGGCCAACUAAGUCAGACGUGAAAUCCCUCGGCUUAACCGGGGAACUGCGUCUGAUACUGGAUGGCUUGAGUUUGGGAGAGGGACGCGGAAUUCCAGGUGUAGCGGUGAAAUGCGUAGAUAUCUGGAGGAACACCGGUGGCGAAGGCGGCGUCCUGGACCAACACUGACACUGAUGAGCGAAAGCCAGGGGAACAAACGGGAUUAGAUACCCCGNUANUC
rnacentral:rRNA from 1 species